rnacentral:rRNA from 1 species
UACGUAGGCAGCAAGCGUUGUUCGGAUUUACUGGGCGUAAAGGGUGCGUAGGUGGGUUGGUAAGUCAGUGGUGAAAUCUCCGGGCUUAACUCGGAAACUGCCGUUGAUACUAUCAAUCUUGAGUGUUGUGGAGGUAAGCGGAAUAUGUCAUGUAGCGGUGAAAUGCUUAGAUAUGACAUAGAACACCGAUAGCGAAGGCAGCUUGCUACACAAUUAUUGACACUGAGGCACGAAAGCGUGGGGAUCAAACAGG